AUUAAUAAUUAAUAUAUUUAAUAAAAAUAAUUUUAAUUUAAUAAAUAUUUUAAUGGGGGUGAAAGUAUUUUUUAAAGAAAAAAUUUUUAAAUUUAUAGUUAAUUAGUAUUGUGAAAGAAUUUUGAAAUAUUAUGAAAAAUAAAAUUUUUAGAAAGUAAUUUUUAUUUAUUGUAUCUUGUGUAUCAGAGUUUAUUAAAAAUUUUUAAUUUAUAAAUUAAUUUCUCGAAUUUAAAAGAGUUAAAUAAUUAUUAAAGUUAUUGUAGCAAAAUUAUUUUAAAUAAUUAUUUAGAAAUGAAAUGUUAAUCGUUUUUAAAUAUAUCUAGUUUUUAUAGAAAAAAAUUUAAUUUUAAAUUUAAAAAUUAUUUAAUUAAUUUAUUAAUUAAAUAAUUAUUUAAAUUUUAUAAUUUAAGGGAUAAGCUUUAAAUUAAAUUUUUAUAAUAUUAAAUUUUUAUUUUGAAAAUUUUAUAAUUUAUAUUGUUAAUAAAUUUUAUUUUGUUAUAAAUAAUUUCAUUUUUUUUAAAAUUUAAAUUUUAUUUAAUUUUUUAUAUAAAAUUUAUUUAUAAUUAUAUAAAGUUAAUUAUAAUGAUAAAAUUAGUAUAUUAUUUAAUAUUAAAUUAAAAUUAAUUUUUGAUUAAUAACUAAAUUAAUUAAAAGGAAUUCGGCAAAUAUUUAUUUUCACUUGUUUAUCAAAAACAUGUCUUUUUGUUAUUUAAUUUAAAGUCUAAUCUGCCCACUGAUUUAUAAAAAUUGAAGGGCUGCAGUAUAUUGACUGUACAAAGGUAGCAUAAUCAUUAGUCUCUUAAUUGGUGACUUGUAUGAAAGAUUGGAUGAAAAAUAUACUGUCUCUUAGUUAAUAUAUAGAAUUUAAUUUUUUAUUUAAAAAGUUAAAAUAAUUUAAAAAGACGAGAAGACCCUAUAGAGUUUAAUAAAUUAUUUUAUGAAAGUUUUAUUUAUAUUUACUAAUAAUUUUAUAAAUUUAUUUAUUUUGUUGGGGUGAUAAAAAAAUAAAUUUAACUUUUUUUAAGUAAUUUACAUGAAUAAGUGACUAAU
rnacentral:rRNA from 1 species